GAUGAACGCUAGCUACAGGCUUAACACAUGCAAGUCGAGGGACCGGCGCACGGGUGAGUAACACGUAUCCAACCUGCCCUUUACUCGGGGCUAGCCUUUCGCAAGAAAGAUUAAUACCCGAUAUAAAGGAUGGGGAUGCGUUCCAUUAGGUUGUUGGUGAGGUAACGGCUCACCAAGCCUUCGAUGGAUAGGGGUUCUGAGAGGAAGGUCCCCCACAUUUGAACUGAGACACGGACCAAACUCCUACGGGAGGCAGCAGUAAGGAAUAUUUGGGAAGGAGCGCUAGCCUGAACCAGCCAAGUAGCGGGAAGGAUGAAGGCUUAUGGAUCGUAAACUUCUAUGAUAUAAGAAUAUGUAUUAGAUGAAUAAGGAUCGGCUAACUCCGUGCCAGCAGCCGCGGUAAUUC
rnacentral:rRNA from 1 species